rnacentral:rRNA from 1 species
CAUAUGCUUGUCUCAAAGAUUAAGCCAUGCAUGUCUCAGUACAAGCCGAAUUAAGGUGAAACCGCGAAAGGCUCAUUAAAUCAGUUAUGGUUCCUUAGAUCGUACCCACAAUUACUUGGAUAACUGUGGUAAUUCUAGAGCUAAUACAUGCAAACAGAGCUCCGACCGGAGACGGAAGGAGUGCUUUUAUUAGAUCAAAACCAAUCGGUGGCGGGUCGUUUCACGCGGCUCGUCAUCGUACAACUUGGUGACUCUGAAUAACUUUACGCUGAUCGCACGGUCCAGCACCGGCGACGCAUCUUUCAAAUGUCUGCCUUAUCAACUGUCGAUGGUAGGUUCUGCGCCUACCAUGGUCGUAACGGGUAACGGGGAAUCAGGGUUCGAUUCCGGAGAGGGAGCCUGAGAAACGGCUACCACAUCCAAGGAAGGCAGCAGGCGCGCAAAUUACCCACUCCCGGCACGGGGAGGUAGUGACGAAAAAUAACGAUACGGGACUCAUCCGAGGCCCCGUAAUCGGAAUGAGUACACUCUAAACCCUUUAACGAGGAUCAAUUGGAGGGCAAGUCUGGUGCCAGCAGCCGCGGUAAUUCCAGCUCCAAUAGCGUAUAUUAAAGUUGUU